GAAGCGAUGAUGAGUUUAGAUUAGAGGUGUGGGCAGCAGCGAGUGGUAUCAAUCAUCUCGCCGCGAGCCUUUCCCCAUUAUUAAACGACUUUUUCCUUGCACUGAGCUCC